GGUGUUCUCCAAGUGAGAGUAAAACCAGUGGCGUCAUUUGGCCUGGGCUCCAGGGGAUUCAGCCCCAAACCUUUCAGUCUGAGUUUCCAUAACCAAAUACAUGUUUUACUGACAAAUGUUAAUGAAAAAAUUUACAAUACAAUAUACUACACUAGGCAGUAGCAGGCACUGCAAGAAGCCCUUGGAGUGAUGUGGAGCCUGCUGUGAUUGGUUGCGAUUUCUCAACACAGUGGACCGCUUGUCCCUUGACCCCACCCCUACAGCACCGGUUAGAUGUCAAUGUGACUCAGCAAAAUGCCUCCCUAUGGACGGAAGCUGAACUUCACUAAAGCAUUUUUAACCCUGUUUAACAUUAGCAAUGUUGAGGAAGUAGAACUGACAAAAUGAAUCAUAGAGGUCCUCUAACCGGUUCCAUUCUACAGUGUCGGGAGGUCAACCUGCAAAUGAGCCAAGGACAGAUGAGAACAGCAGACCAGUGGAGCAUUUAGAACAGCAGCAGCCAGAGGCAAAUGGAGGGGAAGACAAUGAUUUAGGUGACCCUGACACAGGCCAAAACAAGUUAAGUUACCCCAGUAUCCCCUUGACCGUUUUGUAUUGGAAAACUAAAGAGACACUCGAGAGAAGACAAAGAGACAGACAACAGAAGAGUAGGAUAUGAUGGAGAGAGACUCUACAAAAACAUAACAGUCCAUAACAGAAGAGGAUAGACAAAGAACACAGUAAGAAACAAGAACCUGAGACAGCAACAGACAAGACAGAGAAAGUGACAGAAGAGGGCAGAUGGAGAUAGAA